rnacentral:rRNA from 1 species
AUGCAAAACAGUGAGAAGACCCAGAUGAAAGGGAUGGUUGGAAAUCGAACUAGUAAUAUACUUGGGAAAGAAAGUCACAGGAAAGAGGGAGGAGACACUGAUGGGCAACAGAGAGGUAACAAGAUGGUUGAACAGGGGGUUGGAUUGGAAAUGAAGAAGCAAGGAGGUAAAAGUGGUUGGCAGCAAGGGUAUGAGGAGAACAAGAGAAAUUUUGACAGAUUUAACAAGCAGGUGUGUGGUAAGUGUAAAGACCCCAGACACACCACCAAGGAUUGCAGGGUGGGGCAUUGCUUGAUCUGUGGCAGAGAGAAUCAUAUUACAGGAGAGUGCAACUUGCUGAAACAGGUUAAACCAGUCCCAAAAUAUGUAGGGUAUGCAGCUAAAGGGCUGGGAAUUCUUCUGGUUCAGAACUAUAAAGAUGUACUGAUAGCAGAGCAUACCAAUCCUUUGGGGGUGGUGAUCAUAAGAGAAGGAAGCAUUAACGAGACUGAGCUUGUGAAGGCUAUGGAGGAAAUGUUUGAUUGGGGCUGGCAAUGA